GGUAGAAUAUGCAAAUUGGUAACGCGAACAGUCUGUAAAACUGUUGACUUCGGUCUUUGUAGGUUCAAGUCCUACUUCUACCA
rnacentral:tRNA from 1 species